rnacentral:lncRNA from 1 species
UGGGGUUUUGGGCUUUGGAGGCAACUCACAAAGUGAUGGCUGUCAAGGGAAGAGGAGAAGAGUGGCAGUAGUGAUCAAGAUGAGAACCAAAUGGGGCAUUGAUGGAAGCAAGGGAGGCAAAAUUGCUUUUCUACAAGCAAAAACUAUUGUCAAUGAUCAUGGGCCCCUUGGAUGUGUAAUGCAAAAUCCAAUUCUGUCACUCUUUAUAUAAUAAUAACAAUAUUGAUAUUUUUAUGUCUUUGUAGGAAAACCCACUACAACACAACAUCCCACACGGAGCUGUGAGUUCCACAGGACUCUUUUCAGUUGGAGCAGAAGUUCAAAACUCACAACACAUCAAACACAUGGGUAGCCCUCACUUUCUAAUGCCAAAAACAAAGAAAAGAAAAGAAAAGAAAAGACAAGAAAAAGUAUACAACUAUAAAUACAAACAAAGGGGAAGAUAGUGGAGUUGGAACUUAAGUGCUUCUAACUCACUCCUCGUCAUUCCCCUCC